rnacentral:rRNA from 1 species
GAAACCAACAGGGAUUGCCCUAGUAACGGCGAGUGAAGCGGCAACAGCUCAAAUUUGAAAUCUGGCCCUCGGGUCCGAAUUGUAAUUUGUAGAGGAUGCUUUUGGCGCGGUGCCUUCCGAGUUCCCUGGAACGGGACGCCUUAGAGGGUGAGAGCCCCGUACGGUUGGACGCCUAGCCUCUGUAAAGCUCCUUCGACGAGUCGAGUAGUUUGGGAAUGCUGCUCUAAAUGGGAGGUAAAUUUCUUCUAAAGCUAAAUACCGGCCAGAGACCGAUAGCGCACAAGUAGAGUGAUCGAAAGAUGAAAAGCACUUUGAAAAGAGGGUUAAACAGCACGUGAAAUUGUUGAAAGGGAAGCGUUUGCGACCAGACUUUUUCCUGGCGGAUCAUCCGGGGUUCUCCCCGGUGCACUUCGCCAGGUCAAGGCCAGCAUCGGUUUUCGAGGGGGGACAAAAGCUUGGGGAACGUAGCUCCCUUCGGGAGUGUUAUAGCCCCUUGCAUAAUACCCCCUCGGGGACCGAGGAACGCGCUUCUGCAAGGAUGCUGGCGUAAUGGUCGUCAACGACCCGUCUUGAAACACGGACCAAGGAGUCGAACAUUUGUGCGAGUGUUAGGGUGUUAAACCCCUGCGCGUAAUGAAAGUGAACGGAGGUGAGAGCCCUCACGGGUGCAUCAUCGACCGAUCCUGAUGUUUUCGGAUGGAUUUGAGUAAGAGCAUAAAUGUUCGGACCCGAAAGAUGGUGAACUAUGCGUGGAUAGGGUGAAGCCAGAGGAAACUCUGGUGGAGGCUCGCAGCGGUUCUGACGUGCAAAUCGAUCGUCAAAUCUGCGCAUGGGGGCGAAAGACUUAUCGAACCAUCUAGUAGCU